GACGAACGCUGGCGGCGUGCUUAACACAUGCAAGUCGAACGGAAAGGCCCUGCUUUUGUGGGGUGCUCGAGUGGCGAACGGGUGAGUAACACGUGAGUAACCUGCCCUUGACUUUGGGAUAACUUCAGGAAACUGGGGCUAAUACCGGAUAGGAGCUCCUGCUGCAUGGGGGGGGUUGGAAAGUUUCGGCGGUUGGGGAUGGACUCGCGGCUUAUCAGCUUGUUGGUGGGGUAGUGGCUUACCAAGGCUUUGACGGGUAGCCGGCCUGAGAGGGUGACCGGCCACAUUGGGACUGAGAUACGGCCCAGACUCCUACGGGAGGCAGCAGUGGGGAAUAUUGCAGAAUGGGCGGAAGCCUGAUGCAGCAACGCCGCGUGCGGGAUGACGGCCUUCGGGUUGUAAACCGCUUUCGCCUGUGACGAAGCGUGAGUGACGGUAAUGGGUAAAGAAGCACCGGCUAACUACGUG
rnacentral:rRNA from 1 species